rnacentral:rRNA from 1 species
UGGGGAAUAUUGGACAAUGGGGGCAACCCUGAUCCAGCAAUGCCGCGUGUGUGAAGAAGGUCUUCGGAUUGUAAAGCACUUUCGACGGGGACGAUGAUGACGGUACCCGUAGAAGAAGCCCCGGCUAACUUCGUGCCAGCAGCCGCGGUAAUACGAAGGGGGCUAGCGUUGCUCGGAAUGACUGGGCGUAAAGGGCGUGUAGGCGGUUUACACAGUCAGAUGUGAAAUCCCCGGGCUUAACCUGGGAGCUGCAUUUGAUACGUGUAGACUAGAGUGUGAGAGAGGGUUGUGGAAUUCCCAGUGUAGAGGUGAAAUUCGUAGAUAUUGGGAAGAACACCGGUGGCGAAGGCGGCAACCUGGCUCAUGACUGACGCUGAGGCGCGAAAGCGUGGGGAGCAAACAGGAUUAGAUACCCUGGUAGUCCACGCUGUAAACGAUGUGUGCUAGAUGUUGGGUAACUUUGUUAUUCAGUGUCGCAGUUAACGCGUUAAG